AUGUUUUUGAUCAUGGCUCAGGACGAACGCGGGCGGCGUGCUUAAUACUUGCAAGUCGAGGGGAGUUGAGGGAGGGCUUGCACUCCUGAUGUUAAGGGGCGGAGGGGUGAGUAAUAGGUAGGUAACCUGCCCUUAAGACCGGGAUAACUCAGGGAAACGUGGGUUAAUACGGGAUGGGCGAUUUCCUCGCAUGAGGGAAUCGGGAAAGGCGGAGCAAUCUGCCGUUUAGGGAGGGACCUAGGGCGCUUAAGCUAGUUGGUGAGGUAAGGGCUCACCAAGGCGACGUUGGGUAGCCGACUUGAGAGGGUGAUGGGCCACACUGGGAUUGAGACACGGCCCAGAUUCUUACGGGAGGCAGCAGUAGGGAAUCUUCCCCAAUGGACGCAAGUCUGAGGGAGAAACGCCGCGUGAGUGAUGAAGGUUUUCGGAUCGUAAAGCUCUGUGCCAGGGAAGAACGCUAUGGAGAGUAACUGUCCAUAGUGACGA
rnacentral:rRNA from 1 species